rnacentral:lncRNA from 10 species
CCUGUUUUCUGUAUCUUUUUAAGAUCAUCACUCACCACAUGUAUUUGUUUGGCAGAACGACGUCAGGCAAUACCCCAUUCUCAACCAUGUCUGAAGAACUGCAUUAAACAGACCAAAAUACAACCAGAAAGUGAGCAUAUAUAAUAUGCAUCUCUUUCUUCAUUAAAAUAUGAGCCCAUAGUUAUAUAAAUAAAUAUCUAUGAGUCCAUAGUUAUAUAAAUAUCUGAGUCCAUACUUAAAUAAAUAGCUAUGAGUCCAUAGCUAUAUAAAUAAAUGAUUAAAUAAAUAAAUUAGAGAAUAGGCAAAUCUCCCAUGCAGAAGAAUUCAAAAUCAUGAACAUAGAUUCUCUUCCCUCAAAGAAGUGGACUUAAUUCUCAAUACAUUAAACAUGGACUGAGCAUAGUGACUUCCUUUCAAAGAGUACAGUGUAGAAAGAAGGUUUAAAAAAAAAAAGAAUAAGUUUACAGUGGAAAAACCUGACAAAUACUAUCUCAGCCAGGUUAUCAAGGUAAACAUCAACAGAGAAGUCAUAUUAAUAGAUUGUACCCUUGAUUUCAUGUGAUAAGAAUGAUAUUUUACAUCUGUAGUGUUCCUACCCCAAACCAUAGUCCGGUCUAAUCAUGAAUAAAAACCUAGGUAAACCCUAUUUCAGAGACUGACAAAAAUAUCUAACCAGGACUUCUCAAAACUCUCAAGGUCAUCAAAAACUUGGAAAAUCUGAGAAACUGUCACAGUCAAGAGGAGCCUAGGGAAUAUGAAGACUAAAUUGGAUGGGAUCCCGGCAUGGAAAAGGGACAUUAGGUAAAAACUAAGGAAAUAUGAAUAAACUAUGGACUUUAAAACAAAAGAAAAUAAGUUACUUUGUUGUUGCUCAAGGUCACAGAACUUUUAAAUGUUUAAUUAAGUGGGGCUUGAGCUCUGGGUUCUGUUGCCUUCGAAGCCUGUGCUUAAUUCCAUUUUACAGGUCUGCUUGCAAGGGAAGAGCUCCAGCCUCCUAUUUCAUUUCUUAGGAGUGCUUGUAAUGAGCUCUUCUGGGUAUACAAAAGGUAUAGGAAGAAAAUUCUUGUUUCUUUCUCUAGAUUUGUCUAGUUUACUCUUGAGAGAGUUUUGAUUGAUGCUUCCAUCCAUAAAACCUGUUUAGGCUGUAGUAAGAUGUAUUUACAAUCAAUUUUAAUGUAUGGGUUAUAUUUUUAAUGUAUCAGAUUAUAUCUGACUCCAUAUAUGCCUUUCCUUUUAUCUUCUAGAUCUUCCUUUAAUCCACUGUGCUAGCUCAACUUGUUUACUGCAGGAUUUUUCAAAGUCUAUAAUGUACUGACAUUCAUUUUAAUUAUCUCAUGGAAAUGUAUAAGAUGUAAUGUUUCCAAACAACUCUAGCCAUUGAGCCCUUUCUCAGUAUAUUUUGAGGGAUUUAUGCUUUUUGAGAACACUGUGGGAAGCACUGUCCUAUAUGUACGUGCCCCGUAAAUGUCUUAGGUUGGCCAAGCCAACAUGGGGGAAGCAAGUAAAAAGCUUUCAGCCUCUGGAGCUCUGCCAACAACCUUUCAUGGGUGACCCCUUUAUCUGGUCCUCCCAUUCAGUUCUUCUGGUUCUUCUACUCCCCUUGUUAUUGCUUUGUAAUUUUGAUUCUUCAUCCACACCUGUGGAGGAUGGACUGGCUCUGGCCUUAGCACCUUCCUUUCAGAAAGAAUUCCAAAAUCCAUUUUUUAGCAUAAGUGCUGGGAUUGAUCAUGAGGAAAGUGCUACCAACGUUUUCACAACAAAUCAUUAGCUGCUGGAGAAAAUGAUCAGACCCAUUCUUCAGCAUGGCUUUCUAGCGGACAGAAGGGAGAGCUCAAACACAUAUUUACUGUCAAAAAUUCCUUCUUUUCUGUUUGUUCUUUGUUCUUCAUAAUAAAUACCUUGCAGUAGAUUAAGAUGUCUUAUUUUCUCCCAACACAUUUUUUCAGCAAAAAUAUUCCAUUAUAUUUAUAUUAAUAUUUUCCUGUGAAAACUAGGAUAUUUCAGGAGGGCAAGGCACCUACCAAUCAGUAAAGGACCUGCUGAUAUAGAGAGACAAAAAUGGAUUUAUAAUUUAUUUACUUUUGUUUCUUUUUGAUAAACAUUCAAUUUAACUAUAAGUGUAUUGAUUUAAUUUGAAUCAAUCAAUUUUUAAAAAUGUGUUAUUCAACAAAUGCAAUAAUUAAAAUGUUAGCUUCCGGGAAGCUCAGAGCCAAGUUUUCCACCUUCGUUAUCUUGAACAUUUGUGUAUGUGGUGGGGUUGGGGAAGGCAAAUAAAAGUGUUUAAGUAAAGUGUAUAAGUGGACCAUUUCCCUUGCUCUGUUUCAAAACUACACUUUCC